GACGAACGCUGGCGGCGUGCUUAACACAUGCAAGUCGAACGGUGAAGGGACCGGUUUUUGCUGGUUCUGGAUGAGUGGCGAACGGGUGAGUAACACGUGAGUAACCUGCCCCCUUCUUCUGGAUAACCGCAUGAAAGUGUGGCUAAUACGGGAUAUUCUGCGCCUGCUGCAUGGUGGGUGUGGGAAAGAUAUUGUUUCGGUGGGGGAUGGGCUCGCGGCCUAUCAGCUUGUUGGUGGGGUGAUGGCCUACCAAGGCGGUGACGGGUAGUCGGCCUGAGAGGGUGGACGGUCACACUGGGACUGAGACACGGCCCAGACUCCUACGGGAGGCAGCAGUGGGGAAUAUUGCACAAUGGGCGCAAGCCUGAUGCAGCGACGCCGCGUGAGGGAUGGAGGCCUUCGGGUUGUAAACCUCUUUCGCCAGUGAAGCAGGCCUGUCCCUUUUGUGGGUGGGUUGACGGUAGCCGGAUAAGAAGCGCCGGCUAACUACGUG
rnacentral:rRNA from 1 species